rnacentral:rRNA from 1 species
UGAGCAACCUACCCUUGACACUGGAAUAACAGCUGGAAACAGCUGCUAAUACCGGAUACGACCUUCGAUGGCAUCAUCUGGAGGUGGAAAGCUCCGACGGUCAAGGAUGGGCUCGCGGCCUAUCAGCUUGUUGGUGAGGUAACGGCUCACCAAGGCUUCGACGGGUAGCCGGCCUGAGAGGGCGACCGGCCACACUGGGACUGAGAUACGGCCCAGACUCCGUAGGGAGG